rnacentral:rRNA from 1 species
CAGCAGCAGCCACGGGAACACGGAGGGUGCAAGCGUUAUCCGGAUUUAUUGGGUUUAAAGGGUCCGUAGGCGGACUUAUAAGUCAGUGGUGAAAGCCUGUCGCUUAACGAUAGAACUGCCAUUGAUACUGUAAGUCUUGAGUAUAUUUGAGGUAGCUGGAAUAAGUAGUGUAGCGGUGAAAUGCAUAGAUAUUACUUAGAACACCAAUUGCGAAGGCAGGUUACCAAGAUAUAACUGACGCUGAGGGACGAAAGCGUGGGUAGCGAACAGGAUUAGAUACCCCAGUAGUCCCUGUCUCUUAUAC